rnacentral:misc_RNA from 1 species
AGCAUGCGACCUAGGGAGU